rnacentral:tRNA from 1 species
UCCCUGAUGGUACAGUGGUUAAGACUCCAUGCUUCUUAUGCAGGGGGCACAGGUUCAAUCCCUGGUCAGGGAA